UUUCUGUCGGGAGAUGUUUUCUCCCCUGAUGAGUCCAAAAGGACGAAACAGAAA
rnacentral:hammerhead_ribozyme from 2 species